GCAGGGAAGUAUCGCCACCGUAGUUCUCCCUCUCGAUUGGCCCGAAUAAAAGAGAGUUGCCGCCGAGAAAGUGAGACACAGCCACCUCUAAUUCAGUCGAAACGCAGUGGAAUGGCGUCAACCUUGGCUUUGGUGUUCCUCUUAUGCUCGGGCGUAGCAUGGAGUCAGAACGAGAGCACGCCUGGCUCUACGGCGCCUAUUCCUGAUACGACUCCGAGCUCGAUUAGUCCUUGUGAUGGUCACGGUGGCCAUCACCACCGGCAUCACGAUCCUCCGCAUCGCUUCCAUGCAUCAGGCGCCCUCGACCGACCGCAUCGGGGAUCACCGCCUCCGGCAAAUGUCACUCCAAUGGAUUCCUGAAAGCAAAAUGCCGUCCGGCGCUCGAAUGACUGAGGCGCCCGAGCAGAAUAAUAAAAAAUAUAGUGAGGGCGAGAGAUUCAGUGUGCUUCCGAGCCUCUGGAAUCCAUCACUGUAUGUGUUCUU